UUGAGCCGUAUGCGAUGAAAGUCGCACGUACGGUUCUUAGUGGGGGAAAGGCUUAGAGGCCCUACCUAUCACAAU
rnacentral:ncRNA from 1 species